rnacentral:lncRNA from 1 species
GAUCUUCCAGCUGACUCUUCAAUUCAGUUAACUCAACAGCAGACAUACGGUACGGAGCCAUCGAUAUCGGCCUAGUACCAGGUACCAAAUCAAUCGAGAACUCAACUUCACGCUCUGGCGGUAAUUCAUUCACUUCUUCCGGAAACACAUCAGGAAAAUCACACACCACCGCUAGAUCACCAAUCACCAGUUUAUCUUUAGCCUCCAAAGUCGCUAACAGCAUAAACAACUCUGCC